rnacentral:misc_RNA from 1 species
GUGAAUCAUCGAAUCUUUGAACGCAUAUUGCGCUCAAGGCCUCGGCCAAGAGCAUGUCUGCCUCAGCGUCGGGUUUCAACUCAUGUUCUUCCUUCGACUGCUCAUUUACUUGAGUGAUUGGAAGGGGACAUGGACAUGGCAGUUCCCAAGGUGUCAUCUAGGCAUUCUGGGGAUCUGCUCAAACGAUAUGUUGCUUCGCCUCUCUCCUAUGAGUCGCAGCCGAGUAGUCAACUAGUUUGAUUGCUUGUCAGCCUGUGAUAACCAGGUUAUGAGGGCAGGUCGCCAUUGGCGAUCUGUUAA